rnacentral:lncRNA from 1 species
AAUUCCGAAACUGUGACCCGAAUCGAACAAAAUCCGACCCACCAAGAGACGCCUUGGUGGGUCUGUAACAGAUGCUGAAAGAAGACCCGAAAGCUGUAGCAGUUUCCAUUUCUGUAGCAAACGGAUAAAGCAACAAUCAGAAAAACUAAAACCCUAAAAAAUUUGUAACAGCAAAGAAAAGAAGAUUUAAAAGACAAUAAACUUACGGAUGAGAAUAAAGAGCUGAAAAUUGAAUAUAGAAAGCAGUAGCAGCAGAUGGUAUAUAAUAAAACCUGGGGAUUUAGGGAAUAGAGCUUCGUUCUGGUUGGCGACGGGCGCUUGUUUUGGGGAAACUUCAGUGUGUUAAACGUGAAAUGCUUUGAUCUAUAAUAUAAUGCACUCGCCCGUUCAACGUCACUGAUUUAUCUUUCUUAACCUCAAAGAAAUGAACCUCUCACUUUCGGCAAAUUACACGGAUGACACUGUCUUUUUUCCUCUCAUUUUCUUUUCC